rnacentral:rRNA from 1 species
CCCUUAGAUGUUCUGGGCCGCACGCGCGCUACACUGAUGCAUUCAACGAGCCUAUCCUUGACCGACAGGUCCGGGUAAUCUUUGAAUCUGCAUCGUGACGGGGAUAGAUUAUUGCAAUUAUUAAUCUUCAACGAGGAAUGCCUAGUAGGCGCGAGUCAUCAGCUUGCGUCGAUUACGUCCCUGCCCUUUGUACACACCGCCCGUCGCUCCUACCGAUUGGGUGUGCUGGUGAAAUGUUCGGAUCGGCCGUUUGUCGCGGUUUCCGCGUCAUGUGGCUGAGAAGUUCAUUAAACCCUCCCACCUAGAGGAAGGAGAAGUCGUAACA